GUCUAUGGUCAUGCUACCCUGAACGCGCCCGAUCCCGUCAGAUCUCGGGAGCUAAGCAGGGUCGGUCCUGGUUAGUACUUGGAUGGGAGACCACCUAGGAAGACCAGGUGCUGUAGGCG
rnacentral:rRNA from 1 species